GGGUCAAACAAGCUGUACUUGGCACUCUUGCUGAAUAUGUUUUGCAUGGCACCCACAUAUACAGCAGCAAGAAGAGGAGUCAUCCCAAACUGUGCAAGAGCAGGUGCAAGAGGACCUCCAAAUAAAAUCAGUGAGAAGAAACCAACUCCUGUCAGAAGUAGGACUGUGGGUGUGAUUUUGGCUGCAACUCCCCAUCCAUAUUUGUCAAAUAUAUAUUGGCUAAGAAGCAUCAUUGUGAAUGUUGCUAUUCCAGUUGCAGUUGAAAAGUCACCCAUAAAGGAAGAAUACUCAUUUGGGCUGGGGAACUGUGCUUUGAGCUUAGAUUUCCAGGUAACCUCAACCAGGUUGAUGCUAAUACCAUAUGCAACCACCAAAGUGGCAAGAUCUCUAAUGUAUUUUGAAGACACCAGGAAUUUCAAGCUCUCCAUUGUACCCAUCUUU
rnacentral:misc_RNA from 1 species